rnacentral:ncRNA from 1 species
UUGAUAGAGGCGCGGUGACCAUCAGUAAAAGUGUUUUAUGUUCGGAUAAACAACACUUUGAAAGGGGAAAUCGCCGAAAUCAUAUUAUAUUAUCCGGUAUAAUAUGGUUGGUAUAUUGCAGAAUAUGCAAUGUACUGUCACAUUUUUGUGGAGUGCUAUCUU